ACUAACACAAGAAAAUUAAAAUUAAAACUAAAAAUGUCGAUAUAACUCGGUUUGUUGUUGAAAAUCACUGGUUCACCUUUACGCGCUUGAAUUUCGUGGAUCUUUUGUGCCUUGGAACCUCCCAAAAGCUCCUUUUAUAGCCUAGAAAAAUGUUCCAAAUUUGGCAACUUUUAGGUGUGGGAUGUUUACCGUAUCUACACAUCUGCCACAAAUCAGGCUUGCAGUAUUGCAGUCCUGAUUUACGACACUAAGGAGGCAAUUUGCGGAAGCUCUUGGCUACCACAUGGAGAUCUGUGCUAGGGAAGGUUUGCCAUAAAUUAAGCCUCCCCCUUAAUGCAAAUUGGUCUUACGGUACUACAAGGCCAAUUUGCAGCAAGGAGACUGCUUUCGCGAUAGCUCCCUAUCUCUGGAACUACGGGUACUUCUAACUUUCGAUUCUUCCGUUUUUGUAGAUUCCUCUGUAUGGGUACUUCUAAGCCAUCCAAAGGAUAUAAAGGUCACGCGUUCACAGAUGCCCCUCACUAUAUGCAUUUUUGUAAAGUGGGUAUAGUGAUAGUGAGGAUAUGGAAAUUCUAUCAGUUCGAACACAUAUGACAAUAAAAUACAUGCAAGAUAGUAUGAUUAUCUUUUUUUUUUUAGCCUAUUUCAAUAGUUUUAAAAGUUUCAUCUAAUUUAUUUUAGGUCUGAUAUCUUUAAUGUGUUUUUAUUUUUAGUAAAAUCACCAUACGAGGUACAUCCUAAGAGGUGCAUGAAUACUUAAAAAAUUGAUACAAAUCAUACAAGAUCAGAAAAAUUACCCAUGUGUGACUUUAAGGUCGGAUGCAUCCAAAACCACAUUUUAUGGCUUUUAAGUGGACCAAAGCCCCCUCCCCUCCCUAUAAGUAGGGGUGCUUCUUCAUUUCUCACCAUUUCUUCAUUCUUAUUUCUCUCUCUAGAAAUUUUACAUAUAUGCCUUUCUCUUGCUUCCAAGAUGGCUUCCAGCUGAGGUCCCUCCCAGAUCCGUCAGGAUGGCUACCAAGCGCCACAAGAGAUUGUUGAUCCUAGCAAUCUGUUACAGGAACUAAAGACUCACAUCUCCCAAUCUUUCAUAAUCUAGGAUGCUGCUCUAUGCUACAAGGGAAGCCUUAAAACACCUGGAGUUUGCGCACAACUAUAUGGUCAUGCAUUUAGAUGUGAUGCAACUUGCCAUGCCCAUUGGGUUGCACCAUAUGGCUAACAUCCUUAUAGAGUAAUUUGCUAACAUUUUUUUUAUUAAUGCUGAGAAAGAGAUGGCGGGACACCACCAACACCUUCCAUUUUCCUUGUGGGGAGAUGACCAUGACCCCCAAGGACUUAUUCCUUUAUUAUGUCUAGCCUUUCAGCAGUAGGGAUUGGAGUUCUUCAGCGACUGAAAUGAAAAACUAUAUGAGGAGCAGCUUAAUAAUCUGCUUAGCUUAAUCCUUCAACCCCCCGACACUCAUGUUCCACGGGCCUUGCUGGAGUCUUACCUUAUGCAAUGGUCUUUCCUGCGCAGGCCACCUACUUGUGGUUACCUGUAACGAUCCAGAACCAGUUCACAUGAGAUAUUGUUCAUUUUGGCGGGUUCGAGAACUUCCUAAGAGGUCUCCCAUCCUGAAAUUUCUCUGAACCAAGCACGUUUAACUUUGGAGUUCCUACAACAACAAGACCAAACAAUCAAAAGGUGCUUCAUUUGAUUAGUUCUAACUCUUUACAUAUAUGUUAUCAACUAUUCCCCAUCCCAUUUCAAUGUGCAAUUCGAUUCAUUCAUGUACCCCGUACCUUAAAGUGUUGCCAUCGUAGAAGCCUGCCAAAAGCCGCUCCUUGUCCAAGCAUCCUAUCUUUUCUUUACCCUGGCGUUCACUAUCCGCCCUCGUCAGACCGCUUCUCUAGACCAGGCUGUCACAUUACCCUUCUAAUAGCGGACAACUCUUUCUAUCACACUGAACGUAGUAUUGUGAGCCUCGACAUUCUUUGUUUAUUCUAUUGUAUACUUUGAUCUAACAAAUUAUCAAAUUCUCAACAUCAUCCCCAUUGAGGUUCUA